rnacentral:rRNA from 2 species
CUGGCGGCGUGCCUAAUACAUGCAAGUCGAACGAAGCUUUCUUUCACCGAAUGCUUGCAUUCACCGAAAGAAGCUUAGUGGCGAACGGGUGAGUAACACGUAGGCAACCUGCCCAAAAGAGGGGGAUAACACUUGGAAACAGGUGCUAAUACCGCAUAACCAUGAACACCGCAUGAUGUUCAUGUAAAAGACGGCUUUUGCUGUCACUUUUGGAUGGGCCUGCGGCGUAUUAACUUGUUGGUGGGGUAACGGCCUACCAAGGUGAUGAUACGUAGCCGAACUGAGAGGUUGAUCGGCCACAUUGGGACUGAGACACGGCCCAAACUCCUACGGGAGGCAGCAGUAGGGAAUCUUCCACAAUGGACGAAAGUCUGAUGGAGCAACGCCGCGUGAAUGAAGAAGGCCUUCGGGUCGUAAAAUUCUGUUGUCAGAGAAGAACGUGCGUGAGAGUAACUGUUCACGUAUUGACGGUAUCUGACCAGAAAGCCACGGCUAACUACGUGCCAGCAGCCGCGGUAAUACGUAGGUGGCAAGCGUUGUCCGGAUUUAUUGGGCGUAAAGGGAACGCAGGCGGUCUUUUAAGUCUGAUGUGAAAGCCUUCGGCUUAACCGAAGUAGUGCAUUGGAAACUGGAAGACUUGAGUGCAGAAGAGGAGAGUGGAACUCCAUGUGU